GAUGAACGCUGGCGGCGUGCUUAACACAUGCGAGUCGAACGGAAAGGCCCUGCUUUUGUGGGGUGCUCGAGUGGCGAACGGGUGAGUAACACGUGAGUAACCUGCCCUUGACUUUGGGAUAACUUCAGGAAACUGGGGCUAAUACCGGAUAGGAGCUCCUGCUGCAUGGUGGGGGUUGGAAAGUUUCGGCGGUUGGGGAUGGACUCGCGGCUUAUCAGCUUGUUGGUGGGGUAGUGGCUUACCAAGGCUUUGACGGGUAGCCGGCCUGAGAGGGUGACCGGCCACAUUGGGACUGAGAUACGGCCCAGACUCCUACGGGAGGCAGCAGUGGGGAAUAUUGCACAAUGGGCGGAAGCCUGAUGCAGCAACGCCGCGUGCGGGAUGACGGCCUUCGGGUUGUAAACCGCUUUCGCCUGUGACGAGGCGUGAGUGACGGUAAUGGGUAAAGAAGCACCGGCUAACUACGUG
rnacentral:rRNA from 1 species